rnacentral:rRNA from 1 species
AUGAACGCUGGCGGCGUGCCUCAUACAUGCAAGUCGAGCGAACAGAUGAGGAGCUUGCUCCUCUGACGUUAGCGGCGGACGGGUGAGUAACACGUGGAUAACCUACCUAUAAGACUGGGAUAACUUCGGGAAACCGUAGCUAAUACCGGAUAAUAUAUUGAACCGCAUGGUUCAAUAGUGAAAGACGGUUUUGCUGUCACUUAUAGAUGGAUCCGCGCCGCAUUAGCUAGUUGGUAAGGUAACGGCUUACCAAGGCAACGAUGCGUAGCCGACCUGAGAGGGUGAUCGGCCACACUGGAACUGAGACACGGUCCAGACUCCUACGGGAGGCAGCAGUAGGGAAUCUUCCGCAAUGGGCGAAAGCCUGACGGAGCAACGCCGCGUGAGUGAUGAAGGUCUUCGGAUCGUAAAACUCUGUUAUUAGGGAAGAACAAAUGUGUAAGUAACUAUGCACGUCUUGACGGUACCUAAUCAGAAAGCCACGGCUAACUACGUG